UUGACUGCUCGUCGGUCUAGCCUGCCCACUGAAUUUUAAAUGGCCGCAGUAUAUUAACUGUGCAAAGGUAGCAUAAUCAUUAGUCUUUUAAUUGAAGGCUGGAAUGAAUGGUUGGACGAAAUAUUGACUGUUUCAAAAUAAUUUAAAUUAGAAUUUUAUUUUUUAGUAAAAAAGCUAAAAUUUCAUUAAAAGACGAGAAGACCCUAUAAAUCUUUAUAAUUUUUUAUAUUUUAAUUAAAAAGAAUAUUUUAAUUAUAAUAAUACAAAUUAUUUUAUUGGGGUGAUAUUAAAAUUUAAUAAACUUUUAAUUUAUUAAAUCAUUAAUUUAUGAAUAAUUGAUCCAAUUUUAUUGAUUAAAAAUUUAAGUUACUUUAGGGAUAACAGCGUAAUUUUUUUGGAGAGUUCAUAUCGAUAAAAAAGAUUGCGACCUCGAUGUUGGAUUAAGAGAUAAGUUUGGGGGUAGCCAUUCAAAUAUUAAGUCUGUUCGACUUUUAAAUUCUUACGUGAUCUGAUUCAGACCGGAGUUUAUCUGUAG
rnacentral:rRNA from 1 species